rnacentral:tRNA from 2 species
GGGCUCGUAGCUCAACUGGAUAGAGCGUCGGCCUCCGAAGCCGAAGGUUCCGCGUUCGAAUCGCGGCGAGCCCG